GAGUGGUGGUUCCCGAGAUGCAAACCUUGAGAACCUCAUCCAUCUUCUUUACUGUUUCUGCAUUCAAUGCCCCAAACGAUGGUGCCAGGUUGGUGUGGAGGUAAUCCUCGGAACUCUUGGAACGCACAUCAAUCUGGAGCAUUCCACAAGGAGUUAAGCACUGCUUUGGGCAAUACAGGUUCCACUUUACCUUGCUGAAAUCAAAAUUCGCCACAAUGUCACCAAUCUCCUUCAAUGAACCGAAGGCUCCCAGCAUUGUCACCAUGGUUGCCAUUGCAAUUCACCUUCAGAAGAGGUAUGUACAUACUCCUUACUCCAUACUCCAUUUUUAUAAUGGGGUAAAUGAGUUAGUUUAGUGCAGAAAACAUGGUUAACAAAAAUGAAAGUAGCUUUACUCAUCACGUGCUGCAUGACUUCGUCAUACAUAUACGGUUAAAAAACAAAAGCUGAUUAGGUGCAUUCAGCGUUCUGAAAGAUUAGUUUAGUGCAGAAAGCGAUUUCGGUGCAGGAAACGCAUUUACACCAAACAGAAAACGCCAAGCCUCCUUCGGUGCAGUAGUCUAGCUUGACCAUGACUUUGAAAAAAAUCAGAUAAUCGUUUCAUAUUCUUUACGCAUAUGCUUUUAGGGCAUGAUAAACUGCUCUCCUCUCCUCGCGUAGACGACUUUGCCCCAGCCGGUCGCUGGAACCGCAUCGCGUCGCAAAGGAACCAGUGCUUGUGGAAAACCACAGGUCCACUAAGUCAACUUUCACAUCGUCUCAGAGAGUUCAUUCAACUUUAAGAAAGUUUAAGCUUUAAAAACCCCUUGGAGAAUUGAUGGUGGCCGCGAACGUCGGAGAGUAGCAAAAGCUUGAUUGGGCUUGUCUGAGAUUGGGAGCCCGACUUGUAUCCAUCCAAGGCAGGCGUGAGAUGCUUUGGGUGCCCGAGACUAGGGAGGCGUUGCGGGCAUCUGUUUUUCCGAUCCCAGCAGAGUACGAAGGGACGACGCUGCUGCAGUAGUGCUGGGUUUUGAGGGUGACUAACAAAUCAACGUAGCCGUACAUGUGUAUCGAAGUAUGAAAAUCAAUGAAAAGCUAACAUUUUCAAUGACUGAAGACUAUGUUGAGUAAAUAUUGACUUUUAGCGAAGUUCUUACAUUGUACAGCUUGUCUUUUUGGAAGAUGAUGUUCAAGCUCUGAACGAGGCAUUCCCACAGGGAGAGAAGGUAUCUCUAGUUUCCCAUUUAAGUUAUUUCAUUGCUGGAUUUUCUCUCAGGAAGACACAUCCUGGGCUCUUACAGUUCUUUUCUACUUAGCCAAGCUUGUUUUUGGCAUUCUCGGGUAAGAAAUAGACUCGGAAGGCUUGACAAAGAUAUUCACUUCUUCUUUUGUUUUUCUUGUUGCAGAUUGGCUUUGUCUAUAAUUUGGCUUCUCCACAUCCUUGUUUUCAUGCUUGUCAAUCCUCCAGCUUUUCCGUUUCUGAACCAAGUCUUUAUUCAGCUUGACAGUGCCGGGGGUACUUUCUGUCGAUGCGAUCUCUAGACCUGAAUCGUUUCCUUGCUUUCAGGCUUGCUAGGAACUACCGCCUUUGCAAUUUUUUGCUACUACCUCGUCAUGUCUGUCAUAUCUGGAGAGAUGCAUCUGGGAAUGAGGCUUCUGUUUCUUUCCAUUCAUCCAAUGAAGUAAACACUUUUUUUUAAAAAUGUUUUUCUAUGAAACUAUAGGUACCAAGGCACGCUCAUGAACUCGUUUUCUUUUCAUCCAUGUUUACACGUGGACGUUUGCCCGAAUAAGCCCAUUCUGGGUCUAUCCGAUUCCUUUCUCCGAAAGAUGCCCUUCCUGGGCAAAUGCGUGAAUUGACGUGAAAACCCUGUUCUUGCGGAUGACUGGCCACAAUGUGAAUUGAUCUCUUGACGAUCGAUCUCUUCUCUGCGCUUCCAGCGAUCGCGAUCGAUUUCAGCGACACCUCCACGGAUAAAACUUGCAAAUUGGAUGCUCCAAUUAGCUGUCUUUUAAGGUCUCUUUAAGCUCUUGGAGCAAUCAGUACACAUUUCAUCCUUUCUUGAGUAAAAGAAUGCAGCUUAUCCAUAUACUCGUAGAGAUUUUUCUUGAGGAACGUAGCGCUUGCAAAUUGAUGGUCUCGUCCAAGCUCCAACCAGGUGAAGUUGUGAAGCGAAACCAAGAUCUCGUACGGGUUGUUUCCAAACGCACCAGCGCUGAUAGCAAUCUCCCAACACCGCACACUGUCCACUUACUCUUUUGGCACUCGUCCCACGAAGAAUGCCUUGGAUCCGUGCGAACCUCCUGUGCGACAUCCACCGCUUCUGAUGAGCAGAAAUGCUCCAAAUACAAGCAUCACAGCCCGAUGCCCGAUGCAUGAAGAAGACCUUUUGCUUGAAAAUGGAGAGCAUUGAAAAUGCGAGUGACUUUGUCCGUGGUCACCGCUUGCGAGGCGCAGAGGUCGCACAUCUGGAGAAUCCACCUGACCAGACAGGGAUCUCCUGCCAUCAAGGACAGCGCGAAAUCGAUGAAGAAAGCUUGAGUUAGAAGCUUGAGAGUGUGGUCACCUUGGAUUGCUCUUGACUUUUUUCAGAGAUUCCAGCUACGUGCUUUCGACACGAUCGCCGACAUUUGACCGGCUCCUCUGGUGCGAGUAGACAUCGCUGAGCUUCGUUUGCACGAUCCACAGAGCGAAUUUGUCGAGCCUGAGCACGCGGCGGGAUUGAGAGAGAGAUUGGGCUCUUGUUCUUCUAGAGACGGGGAGGAAGGGAAAAGAUCGCUGGCAGUGCACAACGAGAGUGGACUUGAGCCCGGCCUACGCAUUUCGGAGAUGCGAGCACAUAAUCUACCAGAAACCAUCGCCAUCACAAACGAAGCCUCCAGAUCUGGAAAUUCCAACUGAAAACCUGCUUAUAAACAGUGGGCUUAAAUAUUUUUUUGCUCAAAGUGCUUUUUCGUGUGCUCUUACCAAACAUCCAGUUUUAUACUUCCCAACGCGCGGGCCUCGUUUACGCUGCCGGAGUUUCUGUUCACGGCAGGCAAUGGUGUUGGUUUCCAUCCACCUCGCAUUGCCUUGGAACAAUGGAAUGUUGGAAAGUCGCCACUCAAACACUUAAACGUUGAGGGUCUCGCAUGUGCAGGAGGAAAGAUGACGCUGGUGGUGAGCAGCGAGAUCUGAGUGGAGGUUUUGGUGGACGAGAUUUUCUGCUAGCGAUGGGAUAGGCACACUUGUGCCUUUCGGAUUGUCAUUUAUUUAUUGACCAGUUUCUAUUCUUGGAAUCGCGAAGUCCACGAAGGCGAAAAGAUUUCAUGCUAAGCGAGCGCUCUACUUAACAGGAAGAUGAAAAUGCAAAAAGCUUUUACCAUUUUCACAAACAGAGCUAUCCCCGUUUUGCUCUACUCCUGUCUCGAACCUAAAGUAUCGAACAGUGUUUCAAGGGCUUUUGAUGGUAGUGGUGGAGUGUCGCUGUUUCCAAUGCUCAGAGGUAUCCAAAUCCUGGCCAUUCUCAAGCUCAGGAAGAAAGAGUCUAACAUUUCCUGGGACAUGAGUGUGCACCUGGAGGCUUAAACUUAUGUUCACUAUACAUGUAUUGUUGUUAUUUUUUAUGUUAUUAUUUUGUUGUUAUUUAUGUUAAUUUACAAUUGUAAAGUUUGUAAAUAUAUGUAUGCAUAUAUAUGCUAGGUAAUACAUUAAUUAUAAUACUAUACCAUCCAUUUAGGACUAAAUUAGUCCAUCCAUUUUUGUAUAUAAUUCAUAUACCUAUUCAUAUAUUUUGAACACUCACAUUGGUAAAGGUGAGGAAAGGCAACUUUUUUUUGUAAUCUAGUAUUCAAGAUGCAUUUGAUCUAGUGUUUAGGAUAUUGUUCUUUGUUUUUAUUUUUUCAUUCUUUUUUAAAUCUAGAUUUUUAUUAGCUUUUUGCAAGAUCUAAAACUCUAAUUGUAGUUGUGCUUAGAUUUACUCUUUCUUUUUAUUUUUAUUGAAUUUUUUUCUUCUUCUACUAUGCCAUGUCAUCAUCAAUCAAGGAAUAUGUUAUUUGAGAUUGUUAAUGUUACUCCAUUGGAUCAAACCUUUAAUGCUAUGGGGUAUAAUUAUAUUGGUGUUCUUGGUGUGUUGCUAUCUCAAAAUUUUAUAGGUGAUUAUAUAAUUUGUUCUGUUCUCGGUAUUAUGCCAUCUUUUGUUGAUAUGAAACAUGAUUGUGACAUCAAUUGGUGAAUUAUAGAUGAUGUAAUCUAGUUUUUGGCAAAUGUUCAAGGAUCUAAUUUAUAAGUAUGAGCUUGAGUGAAUUCUAGAUUGUUUUGAGAUUUUGCGAGAUAAGUGUUAAUCCUUUAAUUUCUUAUUUGAUCCUUUUAUUUUUACCUUUUGUUCUUUUUGAAUUAUUUAUUUAUUUUUUGAUUUGAACCACCUUUUUUUAUUUCUGAUAUUUCUUCCUCAUUUGUAAUGUUUCCUUUUCAUAGCACAUGGAUCAUUUGUGACUUUUAUCAUUCUCAUUCUCAAUCUAGUGUCCAUCUUCUACUCCACUGCAAUGAGUUAUGGCGAGGCUUGGCUUGGAUUGAUCUUCAGAAGGCGUGGCUAGUGGAAGUGAAUGCUCCUGCCUAGCAUGGAAAGCUGGUAUUGUGUUCUCCCGCAACGAGUUUGGCACCAGCCUUGAGAUUGGGAGGUAUUUGGCAGGCGAGGAGGGAGUGAGCACCGAGUACGAAGGGACCACCUUGCUGCGAGAGGAAGAAAAUCAAAGUAGCCGUUGAUUAUGCAAUCAACAUUUUCAAUGUGACACUUUUAAAAAGGUCAUGGUCAAACUAUUUGCUUAAUGUUUAAGCUUUAGACUGGUCGUAAAUAUGAGCAAGGAUAAUUCAACCAUGUCAGAACGCAGGACGUAUUCAUUUAGAAACUCAUGCUUGAGCUAGACAAACCUCUGUUCUCAGCUGGACAAGAAACUAAGAAAAGACCAAAGUGAAGUUGCUGUUUUGGAAAGAUUCGCAGCUUAUUAAUUUAAAAAAUUUACAACUGUAUUAACGUCUUGAUCGUCUUGUCCCGGAGUAGAUUUCUAGGAUCCUAAAAACUCGACCCUAUAGCAGGAGAUGUCACGCCUACUGAUCAGUACGUAAGCAUUUGCCAAAGAAAACUUACAAUGUGCUCGUGACAAAGUUCGUGAGUUACAGGAGGAAAAGCUUGACGGUUUUGAGGGCCUCCCUUUGCCUUGUUCCAUCAGCACUGGCUCCAGUAGCAUUCUCUAAAUUUCUAUUUUCGAAGUUCUGUUCCUUGUCAAAAUCCAUUUAGAUAUUCCCUUGUCUGAGAAACCUUGUUGCCCUACAAUAUUAUUGCGACAGUGUUCCUGGGGUCGUUUGCAUCAAAGCGACAGGAUGGGAAAAUCCAGCAAGAUGGAAAGCCAAAUGGCACUCAGAGCCGCACGACUAAGCCAUCAACUCGGCUUAGAGCUGAUUGAGCGUGACUUGUGGUAACCUUGAGCGCGAAGAAUCUACAAAGACCAAUUAGACAAUGAUAAUGAUCUCCACAUGGCAAACUGUCCUGUUUCGUUUUAUUAAUAUAUCACAGAGAAUACUUAUGCUUCUUGAUGGGCACCACAAGACUAUAAACAGUAUAUAGAUAAAUUUAUCAUCACCUUUCAAUGUUCCAGUGGAAGGCAAAAAUUUGCUACAUUGACAAAAGUACUUGGAAUCCAAAGCAUCUAGCUUUUAGAUAUUUAUUAAUUUUAUUGUAGUUUGUAUAUAAAGUCUUUGUUUCCCUGAUUGUCUCUUUUCAGAAAUUGAGAUUAAAAAAUAUCAAGACAAUAGAUAGCUGUUAUUUUCAAGUAAAUGAAGGUCACGAGGGGCUAUGAUUUGAUUAUUAUUUAGAAAGGUGUUUUAGCUUGAAGCAGGGGACAUCUUGGCUCAAUUGACACAGUCUGGAUAUUAGAAACCAAAGGUGUUAUCUGCAGCCUCUACAGCCUUCUUUUUGGCGUCUGGGUUCAUCUUGUCAAUGACCUCCUUGCGUGGCUUAAACUUACGGAAGGUGAACUCUGCAAAUAGAACAAAAGGAGCGUGCAGUCUUCAGUGGUUUACAUUAGACACCUCACCUCCAAUGAUGCCAUUGGAAUCCUCCUGAUGGAACACAAUACGGUUGCUAUCAGACCAAGCAAAGAGUUUGAUGCGGUACACCUGUACUCAUAAGCAUGAGCUGUGACUGAAAUACGAAGGGCAGCCUGGGCACAAACCUUGAAGUACGGGUUUUGCAUGUCAGGGUACCUUAAGACCCCGAUGUCAAUUAUGGUCUUCUCAUUGGUGCUCAUGCUUGGCAAAGAAAUUUUCAAAGCUGGUAAUGGUCGCCCCUGACUGAGCAACAAUUUCCCCAAGAACUUUAGUGUCGAUCUUGGUUGAUUUCAAGACGUCCUCAUCUGCGAUGAGAUUCACAAACCAAACCUGAACCUGUGACGAGAGAAGGCCGCAAAGGUUAAUAGAGCUCUUCCAUAAUACAUAACUUCUAUUACCGCUUUCACAGUAGCUGGGUCCGGUGACCCGUCAAACUUGAAAUCGCUAGAGCUUUUGUUGAGAAACUUGUCAGCUCUGCUAACCCCAUCGCCCAUUGGCUCAACCAGGGGAUUUUGCAUGAACAUGGAGUUGACCUUCUCCCAAGUUCGCUCUUCUGGUGGCACUUUGGCGAGGAGAGUGGUGGUUCCCGAGAUGCAAACCUUGAGAACCUCAUCCAUCUUCUUCACUGUUUCUGCAUUCAAUGCCCCAAACGAUGGUGCCAGGUUGGUGUGGAGGUAAUCCUCGGAACUCUUGGAACGCACAUCAAUCUGGAGCAUUCCACAAGGAGUUAAGCACUGCUUUGGGCAAGACAGGUUCCACUUUACCUUGCUGAAAUCAAAAUUCGCCACAAUGUCACCAAUCUCCUU
rnacentral:lncRNA from 1 species